rnacentral:rRNA from 1 species
GAUCAACGCUGGCGGCGUGCCUAAUGCAUGCAAGUCGAACGGGGUCGCUUUCGGGCGGCUCACGUGGCGGACGGGUGAGGAACACGUGGGCAAUCUGCCCUUCGGUGGGGGGUAUCCCGUGGAAACAAGGGGUAAUUCCGCAUACGCUCGUCCCUCGAGUAGGGGGGAUGAGGAAAGCCUUCGGGCGCCGAUGGAGGAGCCUGCGACCGAUUAGCUAGCUGGUGGGGUAACGGCCUACCAGGGCGAUGAUCGGUAGCUGGUCUGAGAGGAUGGCCAGCCACACGGGGACUGAGACACGGCCCCGACUCCUACGGGAGGCAGCAGCAAGGAAUUUUCCGCAAUGGGCGAAAGCCUGACGGAGCAACGCCGCGUGCGGGAAGACGCUUUUCGGAGUGUAAACCGCUGUUCGUGGGGACGAAGCACUGACGGUACCCACGGAGGAAGGCCCGGCUAACUACGUGCCAGCCGCCGCGGUAAGAC